rnacentral:rRNA from 1 species
GGGAUUGCCUCAGUAACGGCGAGUGAAGCGGCAACAGCUCAAAUUUUAAAGCUGGCGUCCUCGACGCCCGCGUUGUAAUUUGGAGAGGCAUCUUCGGUUUGGGCGCCAGCCUAUGUUCCUUGGAACAGGACGUCACAGAGGGUGAGAAUCCCGUGCUUGGCUGGCUGUCCCUCUCCAUGUGAAGUGUCUUCGACGAGUCGAGUUGUUUGGGAAUGCAGCUCAAAAUGGGUGGUAAAUUUCAUCUAAAGCUAAAUAUUGGCGGGAGACCGAUAGCGCACAAGUAGAGUGAUCGAAAGAUGAAAAGCACUUUGAAAAUAGAGUUAAAAAGUACGUGAAAUUGUUGAAAGGGAAGCGCUUGAGACCAGACUCGGCCGGAGACGAUCAGCGGUCCUUCUGGGCCGUGCACUCGUCCUCGGUUGGGCCAGCAUCGGUUGAGACGGUGGGAUAAAGGUCCGGGGAAUGUGGCUCCUUUCGGGGAGUGUUAUAGCCCCGGGCGCAAUGCCGCCAGUCUCGACCGAGGACCGCGCUCUUUUGCUAGGAUGCUGGCGUAAUGGUCUUCAGCGACCCGUCUUGAAACACGGACCAAGGAGUCUAACAUCUAUGCGAGUGUUUGGGUGUCAAACCCUUGCGCGUAAUGAAAGUGAACGUGGGUGGGAACCUCUCGUAAGGGGGGCGCACCAUCGACCGAUCCUGAUGUCUUCGGAUGGAUUUGAGUAGGAGCAUAGCUGUUGGGACCCGAAAGAUGGUGAACUAUGCCUGAAUAGGGUGAAGCCAGAGGAAACUCUGGUGGAGGCUCGCAGCGGUUCUGACGUGCAAAUCGAUCGUCAAAUUUGGGUAUAGGGGCGAAAGACUAAUCGAACCAUCUAGUAGCUGGUUCCUGCCGAAGUUUCCCUCAGGAUAGCAGUAACGAUCUCAG